AGAAGCUAACGAUAAAUUCAAUACGAAAUAUGGGAAAAUCCAAUGAAUUUAAGGAGCUUGUUAUACCUAGUAAAACAUAUAUAAAAAUCCUAUACAUUUCAUCAUUCUGUAGUUAGUAUACAAUUUGGCGUACAUGAGUCGUGGAAGAAAUCCGUUUCAAUAUUGUUUGGGAAAAAUAAGUCCAUAGAAGAACGAUUGUUUGUGUACUUCGAGCCAGUAACUUUUCGCCGGAGGAUUUUACCAGCUGAGUGGCAGCAUAACAAACAUAAAUACCAUCGCGGUUAUAUAAGCCAAAAACUUAUGAGUGUAAAUCAGGUCUUAAAACGACGGACAGCAGUGGAGCAGAACAGAUCCGGACUUCAGCGAGUAGCCGCACGGUUCCAUUCUUGCCUGCCAAGCAUAGGAAACAUCAUUAAUUCACUGGAACUGCAGCACCCAACCCACUAAAUCAGAAUUUUUGCACCAGGUUCAACAUACACCAGGCAGUGCAACUGCGCCCAACCACCCACAAAAAGUUUUUAAAGUGCAGUG